rnacentral:tRNA from 1 species
UCCCCAGUGGUCCAGUGGUUAGGACUCGGCCCUUUCACUGUCGGAGCUCAGGUUCAAUUUCUGGUUGGGGAA